rnacentral:tRNA from 1 species
GCUCUUGUAGUCUAGAGGCCAAGGACACCGCCCUCUCGAACCAGAACAGCCGAGGAAAGGUCGUUGAGACUGUACCUCAGCCAGCUUAAGGCAGGCUCUUUUGAGCCAUCACCUUAUAAUCAAGAAAAGAGGUGGUGGAGAACGGCGGAAACCCGGGUUCGAAUCCCGGCAGGAGCA